rnacentral:rRNA from 1 species
AGCAGUAGCCGCGGGAAUAUGUAGGUGGCAAGCGUUGUCCGGAAUUAUUGGGCGUAAAGGGCUCGCAGGCGGUUUCUUAAGUCUGAUGUGAAAGCCCCCGGCUCAACCGGGGAGGGUCAUUGGAAACUGGGAAACUUGAGUGCAGAAGAGGAGAGUGGAAUUCCACGUGUAGCGGUGAAAUGCGUAGGGAUGUGGAGGAACACCAGUGGCGAAGGCGACUCUCUGGUCUGUAACUGACGCUGAGGAGCGAAAGCGUGGGGAGCGGACAGGAUUAGAGACCCCAGUAGUCCCUGUCUCUUAUAC